rnacentral:lncRNA from 1 species
AGGUAUUGUGACUUUCUGACGUGUCGUCCUUCUGAAAUUUCAACCAAAAAGGACCUUGCCUGUACGCGUGAAUAUAAUCGUAAAAUCCAUUUCACUAGCUGCCAAUGAACUUUUCCUGGGUUGGUGUCAUAUAAAAACCUGCUGACCAUACUAACGCAUGUGAGAUAUCUGGCCCUUGUUGCAAAACAUUGCAUACAAUCAAGGCAAACCACACAGCAUUAGGCAUAAGAUCAUUUGCCAUAUGCUUUCGCUCAUCAUCGGUCGAAGAGAGGGAAAGACGAGGAAGACAUAGAAGCACUUAUUUGAAGUGAGAGGGCCAACGUGUACAAACAGGUUUAGUUGAAUCAUACAAAAAAAAAAAAAAAGACAUCAAUUCCAAACUCUGUAAAACCUUUUUUCAAGAUACUGAGAUUGAUUUCAACCAAACUGUACCUUUCACCUCUGCCCUCUUAAAAUCUCCAUACCUACCCGAAUUUUCUUGGCUUCCGCCAAGAUCCUUCAUUUCAAUCCCGACUAGUUGGAGUUGAGCUUUCACUCGGUCAAUCUCCCUCCACCUGCUCUUAGAUGCGAUCAACAUAUCAUCCACAUAUAAGAGCAAAUAAAUCAUGGAACCGUCUUGGAGUUUUUUGCGAAGGUCCUUUUCUCUACACAAUGACAAACUGACUUCGUGUAGACCCAUGCUCGAUCCAUGAACAAUAUCAACAUCAACCUCUUUCCCUGUCUUGGGACUGAUUCAAUCAAGCCAUACAAAGAUUUCUUUAAUCGACACGCCAAAUGUUCUUUUCCAGAUACUUGAACCCGUCUGUCUGUGACAUGAAAUCUCUCUUCCCAAUCUCCAUGUAAAAAGCGGUUUUGACAUCGAGUUGAGCUACUCAAGAUCAAACUGAGCAAACGAACAAACUCUAUCAAAAUAACGAAUAGACGAAUGUUUACAACAGGAGAAAAUACCCUUCCGUUGUAUUCUAUUCCUUCUUUCUGAGCGUGGGAGCCUUUAGCCACAAUCUAAGCUUUGAAUCUGUUCCUUGAGUAUCUUCCUUCUUGCCAUAUAUCCCUUGCAACCGAUCCGCUUUUCUUUCCUUGGGCAGCUCGAACCAACUCCCCAGUCUGUUCUUGUGAUCUGACUUCAUUCUUCAAAUCCAUGGCCCCUCUUCCAUUUUGGAUUUUCAUCAGUCCCCCUGCCACGCUCUUUUGUAAGUACACGGGACUACCCUCAAAUCACUGGAAGUGCAAUAUUCUACUUAUCAUUAUAUCGAGCAUGUCUACGAAUCACUCUUUGGGCCCUACUCGUCGCGAUAGAUGUCUGCUGGUGUGAAGAUUGAGCCUCUUUCCAAUCUGGUGAGUGUCGUAUCAUCAAUUCCCUCUUCAGUAUAUCACUGUCUGAUAGUUGUAGUCGCACUGAAUGCUCACAAGCUCCACGCUGGGUGGAUAUUGGCUCAGAUUUUCUUUCUCAGAAUUCUUCGUCAUCAUCACAGACUCAGUCCUCGAAUGUAACAUCCCACUGUUUAACGAUCUUCUUCCGUUUCGGGACACCCAUAUCUUUAUCCGUUUACCCCAUGUUCUAAAGCCUACAAAGAUAGCUUUUCUUCGCUCUGGGAUCCAACUUAAUCUUCUUUACAUGAAGUUGCAGGACAAUCCAAAUAGUUAAUUUGUCAUAAUCAGAAACACAUUUUUUUCCUGCCAUACCUCCAUAGGAGUUUUCCUUCAUAGCUGUGGAAGGAAGUGUCUGUUGGUGAGGUGUGGCGGCAUGUUUAUUGUCUUCUGCCCAAAAUGCUUUGCUCAAACCAGCUUGCAUAUCAUCAACCGGAACUUUAAUCCUACUAAGGUGCGGUUUAGAAUCAUGAUCCUUUCUGCAACUACUCCAUUUUGUUUGCGGUGUGCCAUUAAUAGUAAAAUGGUCUGACAAUCCCUUCGUUGGAACCACUCGAGAAAGGAUCUGACCGAUAUUCUCCACCAUUUCAAUCUGAUCUUCUUGAUCUUUCUUCUACCAGUCCUGGUUCGAUCAUCUUCUUCCCUCUCAAUAAGAUUUCAAGGAACUUUCAUCCUUGUGCCGCAUCGUGAUAACCCAAACUCUUCUGGAAAAAGUCCUCAAUCUAAUGUUUACAAAUGCCGUGAAUGAACCGUCCCAAAGAUUCAUUUUAGAAUGCCCCCCAAACACCAGAGUGAACAUAAUCCGAAUGCCUUCAGUCUGAUGAAAUUUGUUGGCCCAACUUCACCCUUGUCCCUGCUUGCCGCACACAAUGCUCGACAGAAUUCAAUUUUUUCCAGUCUUAGCGGCCUUCAGAACUCCGUGACUUACCAAAGUGUGCAAAGCUUUUUCUCCAGAUGUGCCCCAAUCGGCAUAUCCAUAAUUUUGGAAGUGUCUGAUUCGUCUGAACUGGUGGAGAUAGCAACUCUCCCAGUGACCGUACUCUACUCCCAUCAAGGAAUGAGAUUCCCUCUAGAGUGCCCUAGAACACCAAGAGCGCCAUGGGAAGGGAGAACAACUUUCAGAACUCCACCU